UUGUUUCCCCGGCUGCUUGGUCCCCAGACCGAGCUGGGUGAGUAGCUUUUAGAAAGGCUCAUCCUCAAGCAUCACUAGGAGC
rnacentral:pre_miRNA from 1 species